rnacentral:lncRNA from 1 species
AAUCCAAUAUGGCGGCGCCCAGGGGGCCCGGGCUGUUCCUCAUACCCGCGCUGCUCGGCUUACUCGGGGUGGCGUGGUGCAGCCUAAGCUUCGGGUGAGUGCAGCCGCCGGGGCCAGCCUGGCUGGGGUCCACCUUUCCUGAGCGCUCUCAGGCACAGCCCUCCGACCUCACGAUCGCCCCGUCCCUGCAGGGUUUCCCGCGACGAUGACCUGCUGCUGCCUUACCCACUAGCGCGCAGACGUCCCUCGCGAGACUGCGCCCGGGUGCGCUCAGGUAGCCCAGAGCAGGAGAGCUGGCCUCCGCCACCCACGAACCCCGGCGCCAGCCACCACGCGGCCGUGCGCACCUUCGUGUCGCACUUCGAGGGGCGCGCGGUGGCCGGCCACCUGACGCGGGUCGCCGAUCCCCUACGCACUUUCUCGGUGCUGGAGCCCGGAGGAGCCGGGGGCUGCGCGCAGAAGCGCCGCGCUACUGUGGAGGACACAGCCGUCCCGGCCGGUUGCCGCAUCGCUCAGAACGGUGGCUUCUUCCGCAUGAGCACUGGCGAGUGCUUGGGGAACGUGGUGAGCGACGGGCGGCUGGUGAGCAGCUCAGGGGGACUGCAGAACGCGCAGUUCGGUAUCCGACGCGAUGGAACCAUAGUCACCGGGUGAGGAGGCAGGGAGCCCCGGGGCUGUAGAGGGCAAAGGGUCUCUGAUGUUCUUUCAGAGCCAUGCCUCCGAGUCCAGGUCCCUAACCAAACUUCCUGUCUUUCUUCUUCCGAGUAAUGACGCUGACACCUUCCUUCCUUUAAGUUUAUUCAUGUGCCACUGAAUAAUCUGUGAUCAGGCCGUGUGUGGGGACUUGGGGAGGCGACCGUGAGCCUGAACACAGUUUGUGCCCUAGUGAACUUUGUGUAGUAUUAGAGAAACAUUUCGUGUUCAACGAAGCCAUGGAACCAAUUGGAAAUAGUGUAGAGUUUAUGGAGCAGUCCCAGACAGCUAGCUGGAGGCCUUUUGCUGUCCUGAUAAAAAUCCAGGUUAGACAAGGAGCUUGUUGAGGGCAGCCUUUGGAAGUUUCUGUGUUUCUUGAAAUUUGACAGCAGCCAGAGUUGACAGCAGGCAGGCAGGAGUAGAAGGUAGCGCCAUCUGGUGUUCCAGUUCUCUUCCAAGGUUCCGUUUUUUGCCAAGGCUGGGAAGUGGGCUUUCCCCAACUCUUCUCAGCCCUUGGUUGCAAUUUCUGGGCCUGCCCAUGUAUCUGGUUCUUCAUCCUUCAACAUCAGCCAGUGUCACCACUGUUGAUCUUAGGUUUUCACAGAUCCUAAAACUUCUGCCAGUGACCAGCGCCUGCAGUUUCUCUUCCCUGGCUCUGUCCUUCAACCUCUCUACAUUCCAGCCAUCUCCCUUGCUCCUCUCUUGGACUCCCUUCCAGACUUGUUGUCAUGAUCACUGUCUCAGUACCCCUAUUGCUCCUUUACAAUGGUCCACUGACCUGCUCACCUCCUACUUUUUUUUUUUAAAUGUGUGUGCAUCUGUGUGUGCCUGAGGGGAGACCAGAGUUUGAUUUCAAAUGUCUUCUAUUCUCUUUUCCUCCAUCUUAUUUUCUAACACAAAAUCUGAAUCUAGAGAUCACUGGUUCAGUUAACCUGGCUGGCCGGCAAACCCCAGGGCCCUCCUGCUUCCCUCUGUCCACCCCACCCCAGCACUAAGGCUACAGUGUGUGCUGUUCCAGCCAGCUUUCUCAUGGGUGCUGAGGAUCUGAACGCAGGUUCACAUGUGUGGUGGGAAGGCUUUUACCCAAUGCUCUGUCUUUCCAGCCCAUCCUCCCUUGUUAACUGCCAAACAGCUGCCUAUCCUGUCCAUGUGUAGCUCACUGCUACUUCUUUUAUUAUGAGGUCAGCACAUGUUACUAAAGAUGGCAAGAGAAGAAGGUUCUUUCAUUGUGUCAUAGCUAUAGCUCAGGAGGAAUUUUAUUUCCUGUGUAGGCACACAGGAGAGCAUCUUCCAGCUCACACUCCAACUGAACUAACUGAACACCUGCCUAUAUAUCCAAAGAAGGGGUGUCAGUGCCAAUCACAGCACACCUCCAGUGCAAAUGAAGGUUUGUGUUUGCACCAAUCACAGCCUUGCCUCUUUAGCAUGCAUCACAACAAAGUCCUCCUAGACUAUCAGGGGAUAUGCUCUCUUGGCCAAGGUAGGAAUAGUUGCAGUGUCAUCUGGCACAAACCAUUUCAAACGGCCUGGCUGAGGUUAUGCCUUCGGGAACCUGAAGUCUUUGUGUGGUUGUCUCCAAGUGUCUGUGGAGCUCCAGGCGGCUGGUGCUGACAGACGCUUUGUCUAGUUGGCUGUUUGACUUUUGCUUAAGCAGCCAGGGCAGUAGAGUCUAACAGAUGCUAAUUUCAGGAUCAGGAAGACUGUAGAAAAAUGAGCAUCAAGAAGCCCCUGGUACCCAAAGCUGCUCUUGCCAAUGAGUGAACCUCCUGCCUCCCCGCUUCCAGGUACCUGUCUGAGGAGGAGGUUCUGGAUCCCGUGAAUCCGUUCGUGCAGCUGCUGAGCGGAGUCGUGUGGCUCAUCCGCAAUGGAAACAUCUACAUCAACGAGAGCCAAGCCAUCGAGUGUGACGAGACACAGGAGACAGGUCAGGAAGCACAGGUGUUCUGUUUUAUUUGUAUUAGGUUUUGAUUUGUUUAUUUUGUGCAUGCAGCGGGUGCAUGCAUGCUCCUUUCCUUUCGCCAUGUGAGUCCUGAGUAUUGAACUCAGACUGUUAAGUGUGAUGGGAGGCACUUUACCCACUGAGCCACUUUCCCAGCCCUCAGCAUCAGCUUUCUUCAGACCCAGGAACAGUGUGAGUGGGUUAUUCUUUAGUGUUCCCAAACAUUUACUGAGCAGCUAUUUACUGUUUAGCACUAUGGUGAGAGUCCUAGGGAUUCAGUCUUAUGUAGAAUAUAGAAGGAGAAUCCUUGGCAAUAAGCUGGAAAAUUGUGACAAGUGCCAAGAAAGAAACAGGAGAAAGGGGACCGGUGGGGACCAGAAGCACAGGUAUGAGGAAAGUGCUGCAGAUUUGCUGUAUGGUGGCCUCCACAUGGCCUAGGAGUUUGUCAUAAAUGCAGAGCCAUGAGUCCACCCUCCCUAUACCUCCCAUCCAGAAACCACUGGUUAAAUCCUAACAACUUGGGUGUGCAGGCACUCCCUUGGUGACUCUGAUGGACACUCAAGGUCAAGGGCCACUUGGGGAUGGGCUGAUGAGUUGGCUUGGUCAGUAAAGUAUUUGCCUUGAAAGUGUGAGGACCUGAGUUGGAGCCCCAGAAAGAAACAUUAAAAGCCAAGUGCUGGGAUGCACACUUGCAUUCCCAGGGAUGGAGCUGGAAGGCAGGGAUAGGCAGAUCCACGGCCACACGGUGAUAUUCUAAGCUAACAAGAGACCUGUCUCACACAGAAAGUGGGUGGCACCUGAGGACCAACACCCAGGGUUAUCCUCUGACGUACCUCCAGAGUGGAAAAUACUGGGGUGGUGGAAAAGGACACUUUGGUCCUGGGAAUCUGGCUAUUCAGGGUAUAGUGUAGAGGGAGAGGGAGACUCAAGAGGCUGUCUUUGAGUCAAAGGAACAAGCUAUCAGAAGAACUCAGGGCAGAGGCCUGUGGUUCCCAGGCUCAGGGCAGCCUUCAAGGCCCUAGGCAGAGAGUAGCUGCUGGGUGAACAAGUACAGAAGUGAGGCCUGGGGCCUCAGGCAAGGCCUGUGAAAUCCUUCCACCAACAUAGAAGUUUCUGGAGACUGAGAUCACAUGAAGUGCUUCUGGCUGUGGCAUGGAAGCUCACUGGAGGUGGAGCUGGGAUGUGGCUCAGUGAUCCAGUGCUUGCCACACGUGCACGAGGGAAGGAGCCAUCAAAAGAGAGAAAGUCGGGAGACCUGAGGGGUCCCCUGGAGAGCUGGGUAACCACCCCGGGCCCUUCUCCUUUAGGUUCUUUUAGCAAAUUUGUGAAUGUGAUGUCAGCCAGGACAGCCGUGGGUCAUGACCGUGAGGGGCAGCUUAUCCUCUUCCAUGCUGAUGGACAGACGGAACAGCGUGGGUGAGUCCCAGGAACCCUCGGGGCUGUUUGCACUCAGCCACCCCUACCUUCCAGUCGUUUCUGGGGUAUUGGUGGGACAAGACAGCUUUCCGGCCAUUUUGGAAGUUUCAUCUGGAGGCAAUAGCAUUUACCUACUAGUGAAAGAAGACAGUUAAGCCAGAGACCACAGGGGCUCAGCUGCAUACCCCCUCUGCACAGCCUUAACCUAUGGGAGAUGGCAGAGUUCCUGCGUCAACAAGAUGUCGUCAAUGCCAUCAACCUGGAUGGAGGCGGUUCUGCUACUUUUGUGCUCAAUGGGACCCUGGCCAGUUACCCUUCAGAUCACUGGUAAGAACCCCUGAGCCACCUUUGUGGCUCUCUCAGACUGUCUCACUCAGUCAAUACUGAGACCCUGUUGUGUGCCAGGCCCUGGGUAUCCAAAAGUGAGCAGAAGAGCCGAGAUCUCUUCCCUCAGGGUGCUGCACAGCCCAUCCCUGGAAACCUGAGACAGGUCAGGAAAGGCCUCCCUGAGGACAGUGAAGUAAGACCUGAGGAGAUGGCUGGCCGGGGUUGAGAGAGCCUUUACCGGAAGACAAACUGUACGCAAUGGGGAAAUCCGCUAAGUGGCCCAGGGAGAGGCUGGAGCUAUAGCUCAGGAGGAAAAGUACUUGCCUCGCAAGCGAAGGACCUGAGUUUAAACUCCAAAACCCAUAUAAAAAGCCAGAUACGAGCAAGUGGCACAUGCUUGCAGUCCCAGCCUUGUUGAGGAAGAGUCAGGUGAAUCCUGACCCUCUGGCCAGCCAGCCUAGCCUACUUUUUGGCAAGGUCCAGGCCAGCG